GGCUCAGGAUGAACGCUAGCGACAGGCCUAACACAUGCAAGUCGAGCGGCAGCACCUCGGGUGGCGAGCGGCGCACGGGUGAGUAACGCGUAUGUAACCUACCCAUGAGUGGGGGAUAGCCCAGCGAAAGCUGGAUUAAUACCGCAUGAUACUGAUUGAAGGCAUCGGAUAUCAGUUAAAGAUUUAUUGCUCAUGGAUGGACAUGCGUCCGAUUAGCUUGUUGGCGGGGCAACGGCCCACCAAGGCGACGAUCGGUAGGGGUUCUGAGAGGAAGGUCCCCCACAUUGGUACUGAGACACGGACCAAACUCCUACGGGAGGCAGCAGUGAGGAAUAUUGGUCAAUGGGCGGAAGCCUGAACCAGCCAAGUCGCGUGAAGGAUGAAGGUAAUUAUGUAUUGUAAACUUCUUUAGCAGUGGAGUAAUAAGGCGGUCGUGACCGCUGAUGCAAGUACACUGAGAAUAAGGAUCGGCUAACUCCGUGCCAGCAGCUGC
rnacentral:rRNA from 1 species